AUUGAACGCUGGCGGCAGGCCUAACACAUGCAAGUCGAGCGGCAGCGGAAGGAAGCUUGCUUCCUUGCCGGCGAGCGGCGGACGGGUGAGUAAGGUAUGGGGCUCUGGCCGCAGGCGGGGGAUAACCACUGGAAACGGUGGCAAAUACCGCAUAUUCUCUAAGGAGAAAAGUGGGGGACCGUUCAGGCCUCACACCUUCGGAUGAAUCCAUAUGAGAUUAGCUAGUAGGUGGGGUAAUGGCUCACCUAGGCGACGAUCUCUAGCUGGUCUGAGAGGAUGAUCAGCCACACUGGAACUGAGACACGGCCCAGGCUCCUACGGGAGGCAGCAGUGGGGAAUAUUGCACAAUGGGCGCAAGCCUGAUGCAGCCAUGCCGCGUGUAUGAAGAAGGCCUUCGGGUUGUAAAGUACUUUCAGUCGUGAGGAAGGUGUUAAGGUUAAUAACCUUAGCAAUUGACGUUAGCGACAGAAGAAGCACCGGCUAACUCCGUGCCAGCAGCCGCCGUAA
rnacentral:rRNA from 1 species